rnacentral:rRNA from 1 species
CCUACGGGGGACAGCAGUGAGGAAUAUUGGGCAAUGGAGGCAACUCUGACCCAGCCAUGCCGCGUGAGUGAAGAAGGUUUUCGGAUUGUAAAGCUCUUUCGGAUGUGACGAUGAUGACGGUAGCCUCUCAAGAAGCCCCGGCUAACUUCGGGCCAGCAGCCGCGGUAAUACGAAGGGGGCAAGCGUUGUUCGGAAUUACUGGGCGUAAAGGGAGUGUAGGCGGGUUAGUAAGAUAGUAGUGAAAUCCCAGAGCUUAACUUUGGAAUUGCCAUUAUAACUAUUAGACUAGAAUUACAGAGAGGAUAGUGGAAUACCCAGUGUAGAGGUGAAAUUCGUAGAUAUUGGGUAGAACACCAGUGGCGAAGGCGACUAUCUGGCUGUACAUUGACGCUGAGGCUCGAAAGCAUGGGGAGCAAACAGGAUUAGAUACCCGAGUAGUC